rnacentral:rRNA from 1 species
AUUGAACGCUGGCGGCAGGCCUAACACAUGCAAGUCGGGCGCGGGGCGGACGGGUGAGAAAUGUAUGGGGACUGCCAGAUGGAGGGGGAUAACCACUAGCAACGGUAUCUAAUACCGCAUACUAUCAGAAAACCCAUAUGGGAUUAGCUAGUAGGUGAGGUAACGGCUCACCUAGGCGACGCUCCCUAGCUGGUCUGAGAGGAUGAUCAGCCACACUGGGACUGAGACACGGCCCAGACUCCUACGGAGGCAGCAGUGGGGAAUAUUGCACAAUGGGCGCAAGCCUGAUGCAGCCAUGCCGCGUGUAUGAAGAAGGCCUUCGGGUUGUAAAGUACUUUCAGUCGGGAGGCGUUACCGACAGAAGAAGCACCGGCUAACUCCGUGCCAGCAGCCGCGGUAAUUC